rnacentral:rRNA from 1 species
UACGUAGGGAGCAAGCGUUGUCCGGAAUUACUGGGCGUAAAGGGCGCGUAGGCGGCCUUCUAAGUCGGACGUGAAAUCCCUCGGCUUAACCGAGGAACUGCGUCCGAUACUGAAAGGCUUGAAUCCGGGAGAGGGAUGUGGAAUUCCAGGUGUAGCGGUGAAAUGCGUAGAUAUCUGGAGGAACACCGGUGGCGAAGGCGGCAUCCUGGACCGGUAUUGACGCUGAGGCGCGAAAGCUAGGGGAGCAAACGGG